UACGUAGGGUGCAAGCGUUGUCCGGAAUUAUUGGGCGUAAAGAGCUCGUAGGCGGUCUGUCGCGUCGGCUGUGAAAACUCGGGGCUCAACUCCGAGCUUGCAGUCGAUACGGGCAGGCUAGAGUUCGGCAGGGGAGACUGGAAUUCCUGGUGUAGCGGUGAAGUGCGCAGAUAUCAGGAGGAACACCGGUGGCGAAGGCGGGUCUCUGGGCCGAUACUGACGCUGGAGGCGCGAAAGCUAGGGGAGCAAACAGG
rnacentral:rRNA from 1 species